GUCGGGAAGAGGAAGAAAGAGGGUCUAAGAAUGCUGGGAAUGGGAACAUGGAGGAAACCUAAACCUUUUGUUUCCAUCGCUGACGAGGUGGAAAUUCGGCUGUGUGUUUCCCAAUGCCUCCCAUUCCUAAUAUUCUUAAUCACUCCUUCCUCUUCCUUUUGACU
rfam:Oryza punctata chromosome 4, whole genome shotgun sequence.